rnacentral:rRNA from 1 species
UACGAAGGGGGCUAGCGUUGCUCGGAAUCACUGGGCGUAAAGGGCGCGUAGGCGGGAUGGCAAGUCGGUCGUGAAAUCCCUCGGCUCAACUGAGGAGCGUCGAUCGAAACUGCCGUUCUUGAGGGUUGCAGAGGAGACUGGAAUUCCCGGUGUAGCGGUGAAAUGUGUAGAGAUCGGGAGGAACACCGGUGGCGAAGGCGGGUCUCUGGGCCGAUACUGACGCUGAGGAGCGAAAGCGUGGGGAGCGAACAGG